GGGAGAGAGUUUUGAAAUUGGGUCUUGAAAAUGAUGGAUUUAUUCGUAGUUGACUGGUCCUUCUAAAUGGAGGGAAACUGAAGAGGCCAAGAACCUGUUUGAUGAAAUGCUUACAAGAGCUUCUGUCACAAGGAAUUCUAUGAUUAGCGGGUCUGUAAGAAACGGGAAACUGAUGGAGGCAUUAUUAGAGCUUUUCCACAGGAUGCAGGAAGAAGGGAUUGAGCCUAGUGAGAAUGCUUGUGCUCAUGGGCUCACUUCAACAAGGGAAAUGGAUUCAUGAUUGUAUAAGAACGACUUUGAGUUUAACGUUAUUGUUGUAACAGCAAUAAUUGACAUAUAUUGCUAAUGUGGAUCUAUUGAAAAUGCUCUCUCCAGGUGUUUGAGGAGUGAUGGAUAAAUAUGAGAUCAAACCAUCAUUUAAACAUUACGGUUGCAUGAUUGCAGUGCUAGGCCAAGCUGAACUACUGGAAGAGGUAGAAGAAUAUCUGUUUUAUGAUUUUUCUUUUACAUUAAUAUUUCAGAUUUAUCUUGCACAUUCUAUAGUAACAGCUUUAAUCAAUAUAGAUGAUCGAGCUUAUAAUGAAUAUUUCAGAUUUAUCUU